GCUCCUGUAGUGUAGUCCGGCCAACCAUCUUGGCCUCUCGAGCCAAAGACCCGGGUUCGAAUCCCGGCGGGAGCA
rnacentral:tRNA from 1 species